GGGGUGGCUGCCCGCGCCCAUGCGCUUCGUUCCUGACGCGCCGGUGGAGAGUGAGGCCUCUUCUCCCUAAGGUUACGGCCAAGCCUGCCAUCAUCUCCGCAGCGGAGGAAAGGGAAGGCUGCUUUAGCGUCAUCCUACCUGGGGAAGGGGCGCACCGAGCAGGAGCUGCUCACAAGCUCCAUAGGGAGCUCUAAGAGGAGGACAGCUGCGUACGGCCCAGCAGUGACCCAGGCCCACGACGAGGCGCAAAGGUGUGCGCUCUGCUUCCGGAGCCGGGCUCCCUGCCGGCCGUCUGGGUUCGGGCACCAGGCUUUCGCUUACGCGCGAUGACGUCAAACACCCUCCUCAAGCCCCUCUCUUCUAAGGAUCAAAAAAUGCAUCACAGUUAUUGACGUAUUCUUUCCCCAAUGUGCGAAAUCAGUUUGUAUCUCCGUUUACAAAUGAAGAAAUGAAUGCGGAGAAGGGACUUUUUCCUGUCGCUGCAAAACAAUGACGUGUCCAGCGAUUUACCAAUGGUGCACAGGAAGUCGUACGAAAUCCAGUAACGGUGCUCGGCUCGUAGGAAACCCAGCCCUGCGCCUCAAUAUGUCUCAUGUAAAUAAUAAUACAUCCUAGGACUAAUCAAGACUAAUCAAGAUGGGAAAUGUUUGGUGAUCCAGAUAAUCUCAGGUGAAGGCUGGGACAGUUCAUUUGAGUAUAUUGUAGUACUAUUAUUAUAAAAUACGAUAAUUGCAGGCCCAGACUGGGUCAAUGUAAUUGCACAGGGCAGUUUUCUUCAAUACUUAAAAAAUAUUCUGUGUUCAGUUUGCCACUGUGCUUCCUCCAUAUCAAAUUAUUGAAAGACGAAUAUGAUUUCAAAAUCAUUUUGGAGAUCAUUGGGUUUGAUCUUUUGCAUUUUUUUGUUUCAUUUUUUAUUAUGUAAAGACAGGCACAGG